UGCGUAGGCGGAUAGAUAAGUCAGAGGUGAAAGCCUCCCGCUCAACGGGAGAACUGCCUUUGAUACUGUUUAUCUUGAAUGAGGUUGAGGUUAGCGGAAUGUGACAUGUAGCGGUGAAAUGCAUAGAUAUGUCAUAGAACACCAAUUGCGUAGGCAGCUAGCUAGGCCUUUAUUGACGCUGAGGCACGAAAGCAUGGGUAGCGAACAGGAUUAGAUACCCUGGUAGUC
rnacentral:rRNA from 1 species